GCAUGGGUUUGGAUUUAUGAUAGGCCUGCACCCCUGGGUCUUUCAUAGUGCCCCAUGCCAGAGCAAACUGUGGCCUUGAAUCAUUGCCUGGCCUCUGCCCAUAGGCAGCAGGCACUGAAGCACGUUACACAGUG